rnacentral:misc_RNA from 1 species
GAUGAAGAACGUAGCGAAAUGCGAUACUUGGUGUGAAUUGCAGAAUCCCGUGAACCAUCGAGUCUUUGAACGCAAGUUGCGCCCGAAGCCAUCAGGUUGAGGGCACGUCUGCCUGGGCGUCACAUAUCGUUGCCCAAUGCCUAUUGCAGUGCAAUAGGAAUUUCUAGGGCGAAUGAUGGCUUCCCGUGAGCGUUGUUGCCUCGCGGUUGGUUGAAAAUCGAGUCCUUGGUAGGGUGUGCCAUGGUAGAUGGUGGUCGAGUUAGCACGAUACCGAUCAUGUGCAUGCUCCCCAAAAUAUGGCCUCUAUGACCCACACGCGUCUUUUGACGCUCAUGACGAGACCUCAGGUCAGGCGGGGCUACCCGCUGAAUUUAAGCAUAUCAAUAAGCGGAGGA